rnacentral:rRNA from 1 species
GACGAACGCUGGCGGCAUGCCUAAUACAUGCAAGUCGAGCGAACAGAUGAAGUGCCUGCACUUCUGACGUUAGCGGCGAACGGGUGAGUAACACGUACGGGAUCUACCUAUAAGCGGGGGAUAACAUUCGGAAACGGGUGCUAAUACCGCAUAAUAUCUUCUUCCGCAUGGAAGAAGAUUGAAAGACGGCUCUGCUGUCACUUAUAGAUGAACUUGCGGUGCAUGAGGUAGUUUGUGGGGUAAUGGACUACCAAGAAAAUGAUGCAUAGCCGAACGGAGAGGGUGGUUGGCCACAUUGGGACUGAUACACGGCCCAAACUCCUACGGGAGGCAGCAGUAGGGAAUCUUCCGCAAUGGGCGAAAGCCUGACGGAGCAAUGCCGCGUGAGUGAAGAAGGCCUUCGGGUCGUAAAACUCUGUUAUAAGAGAAGAACAAAUUGUAGAGUAACUGCUACAGUCUUGACGGUAUCUUAUCAGAAAGCCACGGCUAACUACGUGCCAGCCGCCGCGGUAA